CACGUACUCCCUCCGUUCCGAAUUACUUGUCGCAAGUAUGGAUGUAUCUAGAUGUAUUUUAAUUUUAGAUAUAUUCAUUUCUACGACGAGUAAUUUGGAACGGAGGGAGUAGCUG
rnacentral:pre_miRNA from 1 species